rnacentral:lncRNA from 1 species
CGGAGCUGCCCUGCCUGCCAAGCCUGGGAAGCCUGCUCAGGUUGUUUACUGCUGGCCUUUCAGGAAGUGCUUUGGGAACAACCUCACACCUCUCAGGUCAUCUGACUCUCAGUCCCACUGGGAGGGCAGCUUAACCUGUUUGUCUGCUUGUUGCUUGUUGGGCUGUGCAAGCAGUGAGGCUGGAUUGUUGCCUCAGGAGUAAGUUACAUAAGAGACUCUACAUUACAUUACAUUACAGCUCUACAAUGCACCAGACGGACCCAUCUGGAUUCUUUCGGGGCUCUUAGCCCUAGAAAUAGCAUCAUUUCUUCAAACUGGUAUAGAGACCCUUGGGGAGGGUCCAACCCUGCUGCGUUUAGCGUAGCUUGUCAUGGAGAGGUUCCAGUGUGUUUACACCUUUGAACCAUCACAACGCCCAGCAUGAACUCUUCAAACUUUUGUAUUCAUGGCUCCAAAUGUUGAAAUUUUAAAAAUGACUUUAAGGCUUUUUAUUUAUUUUUAAUUUUUUUCUACAACUUUAAAGCAAAACUCAAGUAUGAGCUCAGAAGUAUUUUUCUCUUUGAAAAUGUUUAAAAAAAAAUGCUGCAGGUAAAUGAAGCUGUUUCUUUGGGACCAGCCCAUGGAGUGCUGGAGUAGCUGUGAGGUGUGCGCCAGGCCAGGGGACUCACCCCGUUUGUGCUUCCAUGUUCUUGUAAAAUGUGGAUUGUAGUGGAGCCUACCCCAGAGGGCUGCUGAGAAAAUUAAAUUAGUUACUGCAUGUAACACUUAGAAAAUACAAACAUGAAGCGCGUUUAAUACCGAAUGCCCUCAUUGAACGUUCAUUGAUAAUGUUAUUGCUG